CUUGACGACCAUAGCGAGGUGGUCCCACUCCUUCCCAUCCCGAACAGGACCGUGAAACGCCUUUGCGCCGAUGAUAGUGGACGUACGUCUGUGAAAGUAGGUCAUCGUCAGGCUCUUAUUGUAAGAAAACCCCCAGCCCAAAAGCUGGGGGUUUUUGUUUGGGCG
rnacentral:rRNA from 1 species